rnacentral:rRNA from 1 species
AGCGAACGCUGGCGGCAUGCUUAACGCAUGCAAGUCGCACGGGCGGGGGCAACUCCGUCAGUGGCGGACGGGUGAGUAACGCGUAGGAAUCUAUCCUUGGAAUGGGGGACAACCGUGGGAAACUACGGCUAAUACCGCAUGAUGCCUGAGGGCCAAAGACGAAAGUCGUUUGAGGAGGAGCCUGCGUCUGAUUAGGUAGUUGGUGGGGUAAAGGCCUACCCAAGCCUACGAUCAGUAGCUGGUCUGAGAGGAUGAUCAGCCACAUUGGGACUGAGACACGGCCCAAACUCCUACGGGAGGCAGCAGUGGGGAAUAUUGGACAAUGGGCGCAAGCCUGAUCCAGCAAUGCCGCGUGGGUGAAGAAGGUCUUCGGAUUGUAAAGCCCUUUUGGCGGGGACGAUGAUGACGGUACCCGCAGAAUAAGCUCCGGCUAACUUCGUG